UUUUCCAUUAAGAUCAAAAUC
rnacentral:piRNA from 1 species